CUGGGGUAUAGAAAUAUGGUCACUUGGUCUUCUCCCGACCGGCAGUAAAACGCUUGCCGAAGUGGGGCGUCCGUUUGGCUGUGCGGGAUGUAUCAAGUUCGCAGUCACGUCCGGUCAGAAGGGGACGUUAAAUCCGAUGCCUCGUGUAAAGAGAGUGCCACGCUCUUUGCACGUUAAGAACCCUUGCGACAACUCUUUGAGGGGUCCGUAGGUGGCCUGUUGCAAGGCAAAAUUUCUGUCCCUAUCCAAUAUACCCUCAUUUUCCAGUGGCAGUCCAAAUUCCUCCG
rnacentral:lncRNA from 1 species